CAUAGCGACUAUCGUGGCAUAUCAAUAAGCGGAGGAAAAGAAACUAACAAGGAUUCCCUUAGUAACGGCGAGUGAAGCGGGAAGAGCUCAAAUUUGAAAUCUUCAAGGUUUUACCUUGACGAAUUGUAGUUUAAAGAAGUGUUUUCUGUUGGAGUUUUGGUAAAAGUUCUUUGGAAUAGGACAUCAUAGAGGGUGAGAAUCCCGUAUUUGACCAUUAUUUCCAGCUGUGUGAUACACUUUCAAAGAGUCGGAUUGUUUGGGAAUGCAGUCCAAAAUGGGUGGUAAAUUUCAUCUAAAGCUAAAUAUUGGCGAGAGACCGAUAGCGAACAAGUACCGUGAGGGAAAGAUGAAAAGAACUUUGAAAAGAGAGUUAAACAGUACGUGAAAUUGUCAAAAGGGAAGCGUUUGACACCAGUGUUGCUUUCUCGAAAAUCAAUUAAAAAUGAUGGGAUUUUGUGUUGUAUUGACUUUAUCAGCUUUCUGCACUUUUUUCUUAUCUUUUUCAAUGCACUUUUCGUUUAACAAGUCAACAUCAAUUUCUUUUGUUGUAAAAGAGUCAUUGGAAGGUGGCUUUUUCUUCGGAAAAAGUGUUUAUAGCCUUUGGCUUCUGCAAUCGGAGAGAUUGAGGUCUGCAGGCGUAGAUCCUUCGGGGUUAGAUACAUUUGUGCUAAGCUAUAGUUCUUUCAUAGACAACUUGUUGACUAUGAUCAGUCCUGUAGCUUACUCGCUUAUGCUAUUUUACCUACGCUUAGGAUGUUGACGAGACUGUCGAUCUC
rnacentral:rRNA from 1 species